AUUGAACGCUGGCGGCAGGCCUAACACAUGCAAGUCGAGCGGAUGAAGGGAGCUUGCUCCUGGAUUCAGCGGCGGACGGGUGAGUAAUGCCUAGGAAUCUGCCUGGUAGUGGGGGAUAACGUCCGGAAACGGGCGCUAAUACCGCAUACGUCCUGAGGGAGAAAGUGGGGGAUCUUCGGACCUCACGCUAUCUGAUGAGCCUAGGUCGGAUUAGCUAGUUGGUGGGGUAAAGGCCUACCAAGGCGACGAUCCGUAACUGGUCUGAGAGGAUGAUCAGUCACACUGGAACUGAGACACGGUCCAGACUCCUACGGGAGGCAGCAGUGGGGAAUAUUGGACAAUGGGCGAAAGCCUGAUCCAGCCAUGCCGCGUGUGUGAAGAAGGUCUACGGAUUGUAAAGCACUUUAAGUUGGGAGGAAGGGCAGUAAGUUAAUACCUUGCUGUUUUGACGUUACCAACAGAAUAAGCACCGGCUAACUUCGUG
rnacentral:rRNA from 1 species